ensembl:lncRNA ADAMTS9-AS2 ADAMTS9 antisense RNA 2
GGAAUUGGGGGUUACUAUCUUGGAAUCUAGGGGCACUCCAGGCUCUGGGCUCAGACGGCUGGCUUCUGCCUACCCGAGCCUUAACCUUUCAAGGACCAGAAGGAUUCCAGAGCUCUUGCCCUAGGUCCUGGGGCAGCGAUGACUCACUGCAGCACCCCCUCCCACUUCGCCAAGCUGCCGUCUCCGCCCACCCCCAAACAAUCUCGACAGCGCAUUUCGGGAGCCACGGCUCCGGGCGCUUUGCUGGGGGCUAAAGGGGUUUAUCCCUUUCCUUGAAUCCCAGCAGGCUAGAACUACCCCCUCCCAGUCUUCAGGCUUGCCACGCUCUCCACCCGAUCCUUCCAUUGAAAGGCAGAGAAGGAAGGAUGUGCUUGGGAACUUUAAGACCCACGAACGACAGCGCACUGAUGGAGCAGCCCAGUGUCUGGGGCAAAGUCCUCGAGGUUCAUUCAUUCAGGAAGCCUCUGACCAGCCUUUACCAUGCGCUGAGUGAGAAGCUGAGGAUAAGGAAAGAGCAAGACCCCCAAGAAACCCUGAUGUCUGGCUGAAAGCCGAAGCAUGACGCAACUUUGCUAUAUUUCUCUCCAACAAGGAUUUGUAUAUUUUCGCUUUCUCCUCAAGUAACACCUGGACCUGCUCCUUUCCCUUCAAACGCUGAGGGCUCAGUCUCCAAGUUCCUUUAUGAAACAGGGUGUACCAUCAGAGACGCAGGUAAGAAACCUGAACUGCGUGGCCUCACAUAAACCCCACCACACCUCUGUCCUGGGCUCCUUCCCCGCAACAGGUGUAAAGACAAAAGGCUCAUUGUCCUUUGGAGCCUAUAGGAUAAACAGAAAGAACAUGUCCUUGCCGGUUAAUCUGCCGGUGAUAAAGAGUAUUGUUUUAUCUCCUGCCAUCUCCACGUUCCAAGAGAUGAAUUCUAUUGUGACACAAAGUCUGCUUUGUCCUUCCAACCCACUGAGAUGUUUAAAUUGGCCUCUCAUAUAUUCCUUGGUUGUCACAAUAAGAGCAAUGAGUUGUUAUAAUGUGUUGAGAGGAUCUUUCCCCCAUGACAAGGAGACCAUCAUCUACAGAGAUGCUAUGAUGCUGAGAAAUAAUGUGCUUCUCUUCUGCUCUAAUUUUUUUUAAUUAAGACUUUUAUUUUUUGAGCAGUUAUAGGUUUAGAGAAAAAUUGAAGGGAAAGUACAGAGAGUUCCCAUCUUCUCUCACCCCUUUCAUCUCUGUUUCCAUACGUUUGCUACAAAUGAUGAGCCAACAGCCAUACGUUAUUAACUAAAGUUCACAGUUUACAUUAGGGUUCACUCUUUGCUUGUACAUUCUAUGGGUUUUGUCAAAUAUAUGAUAACCUGUAUCCUCCAUUAUAGUACAAUACAGAAGAAUCUCACUGCCCUAAAAAUCUCCUGUGUUCCUCCUGUGCAUCCCUCCCUCCCAUCCCCUGGGGAACCACUGAUCUUUUUGCUGGCUCCAGUUUUACCUUUUUCAGAAUGUGAGGUAGUUGGGAGUCAUACAGUAUAUGUGUAUAUAUAUAUGUGUAUAUAUAUGUGUAUAUACAUAUAUAUAUACACAUAUAUAUACAUAUAUAUAUACACAUAUAUAUACAUAUAUAUAUAUAUAAAAAAUAGCCUUUUUAGAUGGAUGUCUUUCCCAUAGCAAUAUGCAUUGAACUUUCCUCCAUGACUUUGUGUGGCUCAAUAGUUCAUUUAUUUUUGUUGCUGAAUAGCUUCUGCUUAAUUUUCAAAGUGUUUAAUGUAAGAAAGCGGUAUAGUCCAGGCGCAGUGGCUCAACACCUGUAGUCCCAGCACUCUGGGAGGCGGAGGCGGUGGAUCACUUGAGCCCAGGAGUUUGAGACCAGCCUGGGUAACAUGAUAAAACCUUGUCUCCAUAAAAAAUACAAAAAUUAGCUGGAAAUGGUAGUGUGCGCUUGUAGUCCCAGCUACUCAGGAGGCUGUGGUGGGAGGAUUGCUUAAGCCCAGGAGCUAGAGCCUAUAGUGAGCCAUGAUUGUGCCACCGCACUCCAGCAUGGGUGACAGAGUGAGAUCCUGUCUCAGAAAAAAAAAAAAAACAAAAAAAAAAAAACCCAGAAACAACAACAACAAAACGGCAGUAUAUUUGUCCCCACCCUCAUCUCUUCCUUUAUGGGUAUUUCCCUAAUUGUGAGAGAUUACCUGUGUUUUAAAAGGUGGCUUACUGUAUGCAUUGAGAAAAUUAAAUGACAUUUCAGACCAGUUCCAAGUACCUUUUGCAAAGCUAGAGAAAUAAAAGUGAAUUCUAGUAUCUCAAUCACAGAGUAAAACUAGAGAAGGUCUGUUGGGCUUCAGGCAACAUUGGUGUUCUUGGCAAUUUUACCCAGAAGAAUUUAUAUUCCUAUAAUUAGUAUUUCCUCCAAAAUUAAUGAUCGCCUGAUUGAUUUAUUUCUUUCCUAGCAGCACUGGAGGUCCCACUUACCUAGUUAGUAAUAACAUUUGCUCUUAAUACAUGAGUCAGUUUUCUUUUUUCCUUUUUUCUUUUUCUUUUUUUUUUUACAUUUCCAAAACAGAAUACCCUGCAGGAAGAAUGGGAUGGCAGUGGAGGAGCUCUCACUCACAUAUCAUGUAAUGUGGGAGGCAGGGCUAUGCGAUAGUCAUAAAGGGUGCAGGCUUCAGAAUCAAAGGAGUGAGGUUGGUGUCCCUGCUUACGCCCUACUAGCUGAGUGUCCUUCAGGUCAUUUCUCCUCUCUCAGACUCAGUGGACUGUUUCCUAAAGCACAGCUCAUAACAGGCUGUACGUGGUAAGACCGUCGGGAAGAUGGAAGGAGAUCAGUCAUCCCUAGAGAGCAUUAAGCACAGUCUCAGCCACAAAACACUUCCUCAAACAUGAUGCAAGCCACACAGGGCAUUUGGCCUGCGUAUAAAGGACAUACUGAGGACAGUGUAGAUGCUCAAGAAAUUAGUCCUGAAUGAUCAAGGGGGGAAAGAGAGGGUUAAUCUUAUCAUAUGUGGGCUCUCAGAGAACACAGAGCUAUAGAAGGAAGCUGACUUAAUAAGGGUCAAGCAUGAUAGGGGAGAUUAGGAACCGUGUGCAAUCUAAUGGAACCACAGAUAACACCUUCUAGUACUUUUUCCCUUUGGCCCUGCCCCUGCUGAGACAGGGCCACUGCUAAUAACUCACAUUCUUCUCUUCUCUCCUCUCAAAAAGCCCAUUUCCUGAGCAAGUAUAUGCUUUGGUAAGGUCAUUAGCGGUCAACAUGGUUCCCAAGUUUAGUGAAUACUUUCAGAUAAAACUGAAGGGUACAAAAUCACUCUUUCCUCUCUCCCUCUCCUUGUCCUACCUCUCACAAUAAAACGACUUAUCUACUAAUUACAAAGACCUCAAUAGUGGAAGAAAUCCAUAUCCUACAUAACAUGGAGAGCUAGCUAUAUACCCUUGGCAUCAGUUUUUAUCCUACUUUUACUUUUUACUGACUUUCAUUUACUGAACAAAGCCUCCUUUGCCAAAGGCAGGGUAAAUAAACUCAGUCACAUCCUGUCUUCCUUACAUCUUUGUUUAUCCAUAAACUGUCGAAGAUACAGAUGAAAAUCCACUAAAGCAUGCUUGAAGCGGUUACACGAAGGCCAAAUAAGAUGGGAAUGGAAAUGCCUGAUGUUAAGGGAAGAUACUACCUAAAAUGAUACUGAGCUGGCCAGUGUAAUGACAUGAAAACAAAACAAAAAAA